GGGUCAAUAGUUCAGUGGUUAGAGCCCUCCGCUCAUAACGGAGUUGUCCCAGGUUCAAAUCCUGGUUGACCCACCA
rnacentral:tRNA from 1 species